rnacentral:rRNA from 1 species
GACGAACGCUGGCGGCGUGCCUAACACAUGCAAGUCGAACGGGUUUUGCACUUAGCACUUAAUGUUCUUAGGAGGAAGCCUGGAUAGUUGGCCGCAGCAUUAACUGCGAACAAAGUUCGCACAACGCUUAUUAGGAGAGCCAACCCAAGAAGCAGAGCGCUUCCAGGUGCCGAGUGGUAAAGCAAGGAGUUAUGGCGUUGCGAACUUUGUCGCACAACGCCAAACAAAAAAGCCAACACAUGCAAGGGGAAGAACAUUAAGUGCUGAGUGCAAAACUAGUGGCGGACGGGUGAGUAACGCGUGGGCAACCUACCCAUAAGAGGGGGAUAACAGCUGGAAACGGCUGCUAAUACCGCAUAAGCUUAGCUGGACGCAUGUUGGUUAAGUAAGGAGGCUUAGGCUUCCGCUUAUGGAUGGGCCGGUCUGAUUAGCUAGUGGUAGGUAACGGCUACAGGCGACGUCAGUAGCCGGCCUGAGAGGGUGUACGGCACACUGGGA